UACGAAGGGGGCUAGCGUUGCUCGGAAUCACUGGGCGUAAAGGGUGCGUAGGCGGGUCUUUAAGUCAGAGGUGAAAUCCUGGAGCUCAACUCCAGAACUGCCUUUGAUACUGAGGAUCUUGAGUACGGGAGAGUGAGUGGAACUGCGAGUGUAGAGGUGAAAUUCGUAGAUAUUCGCAAGAACACCAGUGGCGAAGGCGGCUCACUGGCCCGUUACUGACGCUGAGGCACGAAAGCGUGGGUAGCAAACAGG
rnacentral:rRNA from 1 species